CCUACGGGGGGCUGCAGUGGGGAAUAUUGCACAAUGGGGGAAACCCUGAUGCAGCGACGCCGCGUGAGUGAAGAAGUAAUUAGUUAUGUAAAGCUCUAUCAGCAGGGAAGAAAAUGACGGUACGUGAGUAAGAAGCCACGGCUAACUACGGGCCAGCAGCCGCGGUAAUACGUAGGGGGCACGCGUUAUCCGGAUUUACUGGGGGUAAAGGGAGCGUAGACGGCAGUGCAAGUCUGGAGUGAAAGGCGGGGGCUCAACCCCCGGACUGCUCUGGAAACUGUACGGCUGGAGUGCAGGAGAGGUAAGUGGAAUGCCUAGUGUAGCGGUGAAAUGCGUAGAUAUUAGGAGGAACACCGGUGGCGAAGGAAGCUUACUGGACUGUGACUGACGUUGAGGCUCGAAAGCGUGGGGAGCAAACAGGAUUAGAUACCCGAGUAGUC
rnacentral:rRNA from 1 species